UUGUGUAGAAAUGUCCCUGUCAGGGAUGGGC
rnacentral:misc_RNA from 1 species